CCCUGUUCCUGGAGAGAUACCCCUCCUGUAGGUUUUAACUCCAACCCUGUUCCUGGAGAGAUACCCUCCUGUAGGUUUUAACUCCAACCCUGUUCCUGGAGAGAUACCCUCCUGUAGGUUUUAACUCCAACCCUGUUCCUGGAGAGCUACCCUCCUGUAGGAUUUAACUCCAACCCUGUUCCUGGAGAGAUACCCCUCCUGUAGGUUUAUACUCCAACCCUGUUCCUGGAGAGCUACCCUCCUGUAGGUUUUAACUCCAACCCUGUUCCUGGAGAGCUACCCUCCUGUAGGUUUUAACUCCAACCCUGUUCCUGGAGAGAUACCCUCCUGUAGGUUUUAACUCCAACCCUGUUCCUGGAGAGAUAUCCUCCUGUAGGUUUUAACUCCAACCCUGUUCCUGGAGAGAUGCCCUCCUGUAGGUUUUAACUCCAACCCUGUUCCUGGAGAGCUACCCUCCUGUAGGUUUUAACUCCAACCCUGUUCCUGGAGAGAUACCCUCCUGUAGGUUUUAACUCCAACCCUGUUCCUGGAGAGAUACCCUCCUGUAGGUUU
rnacentral:lncRNA from 1 species